rfam:Ipomoea nil DNA, scaffold: scaffold1719, cultivar: Tokyo-kokei standard.
UCUUAGGCUUUACUUAAAGCCAUUUAUGCACUUUAAAUCAAUGAAU